rnacentral:rRNA from 1 species
AACGAACGCUGGCGGCGUGUUUAAGACAUGCAAGUCGAACGGGGAGAAUGAGUAGCAAUACGAGUUUUUCUAGUGGCGCACGGGUGAGUAACACGUGAAUUACAUGCCCUUCAGUGAGGAAUAGCCCAGGGAAACUUGGAUUAAUACCUCAUGGUCUCGCAAGAGUAAAGGCGGCGCAAGCUGCCGCUGAAGGAUUGGUUCGCGCCCUAUCAGCUAGUUGGUGAGGUAACGGCUCACCAAGGCGACGACGGGUAGCCGGUCUGAGAGGACGAUCGGCCACACUGGAACUGAGACACGGUCCAGACACCUACGGGUGGCAGCAGUCGAGAAUAAUUCACAAUGGGGGAAACCCUGAUGGUGCAACGCCGCGUGGAGGAUGAAGGUCUUCGGAUUGUAAACUCCUGUCAUCCGGGAGUAAGACCUGGCGGUGAAUAGCCGACAGGGUUGAUAGUACCGGAAGAGGAAGGGACGGCUAACUUCGUGCCAGCAGCCGCCGUAAUAC